rnacentral:rRNA from 1 species
GAGUUUGAUCGUGGCUCAACGAGUGAACGCUGGCGGCAGGCCUAACACAUGCAAGUCGAGCGGCAGCGCGGGGGCAACCCUGGCGGCGAGCAGCGGACGGGUGAGGAACACAUCGGAAUCUACCCUGUCGUGGGGGACAACGUAGGGAAACUUACGCUAAUACCGCAUACGACCUUCGGUGAAAGCCGGGACCAGCAAUGGCCCGGCGCGACUGGAUGAGCCGAUGUCCGAUUAGCUAGUUGGCGGGGUAAUGGCCCACCAAGGCGACGAUACGGUAGCUGGUCUGAGAGGACGACCAGCCACACUGGAACUGAGACACGGUCCAGACUCCUACAGGAGGCAGCAGUGGGGAACUAUUGGACAAU